UGAAUAUAUAGGAAACUAUUUAAUUUCCAUAUACUUAUAAUAGUUUCUCUCCGUAUAUAGACUAUAAAAAUGGAAUUAGUAACUUAAAAGAAUAUUUUAUUACAACAUAUUACAAUAUUACUGAUAUUAUAAAAGAUAUUUAAAAUUGUGGUACGCAAAAGUUAAUCAUAUACGUAUGUGUUUCAGAGCAAAAUUUUCGGGUUUGGUCUACUUUGAUUUUCAUUAAGUUGCUCUUUGUGCUGCAUUUGUUCGCUAUGGCUUGAGAUAAAGAAUGGGACUUAAUUCGCAGCAUUUGGAACUUGCUAAUUUAUUUAGUUUUUAUUCUCCUGUUUCAAAAUUAAUUUUUGGCCUUCUUCUAAGGUUUUCUAAGUAGUGGUUUAUCCUGAUGUAUUUUCGUUUUCUAACCAAUGCUUCUUUAUUUUGAAGCUUGGUUGAGGGCAAAAUUUAUGAUGUCUGGAUGUUUCAGAUAAUUGGCAAGCUGCAAGAUGACAAGAUCCAAGUCUGCUCAGUCAUAUUGAAGGGAAGUGUGCAGAAGUGCCUGAUGGUAACAAUUAAAGGAGCUAGCAGUGGGCAACAAUUACCGUUAUUACUGUAGCAGUGGGAUCCUUUGGCAUGAAUAUUUCUUUUCCAGCAGACAAGCCUUUUGGCAGAUUGUGAACUACCUGUCUCACCGCGAAUCACUUGUUCCACAAGGUGACUUAUUUUGGUGUACAUUUUGUUUGCUCUUUCCAUCAUUGCAUGUUAAGAAAAUUUACUUGCUGAUUAGGUUUGGACAAACAAGUACCUGAAAGCACUCUUUGUAGCAUAGUUAAUAAACAAAAUGCAACAAAUUAAGUUAAGUUGACUUCACUUUUAUUUCUAAGUUAUGUUAUGAAAAGGAAAAAAACUUUUGCUGCUGGACUAUCACUGUCUAGAUGAACAUCAAAUCACUGUUUUAGGGAGGUCUAAGACAAAAAUCUUCUUCUUUGUAUAGGUUAUGGUUUAGUUAGUAUCUGCUGGCUUGAUUGUGGCGCUGCUAUGUUGAUGUUGACUAAGUUAAAAGGUCUUUUGUCCUUAUGCAUGUUGAAAGCCCGAAAUGCCUUCUUUUCUCCUCAGGGAAUUAGAGAUGUAAAAUGGUUGCACGAACUUAAGAGAAGUGCAAAAAGGUUCCUUGAAUGAGAGUUAUAGAAACUAUACUAAUAAAAAGGAGAACUCUUUUCUUACAUAAUUAAUGCUUAAAUUUAUGGCUCACUGGACGUCUCUUUAACUAAAAUGACCUGACUAUUUUAAUGUUCAUCUGCAGUACUUGUUUCUAUUGACUGACACUACUGAAGUUCUACUGUUUUGUUUUGAGAGCAAUUAGACUCAUCCUCCAGAGGCUGCUUGGAAAACUCAGGUGUAAGGCUUUCAAUUACUCUGUUUAGUGAUUUUUAUAGAAUUUUCAUGAUAAAUUUAUUGUACAUUUUCUUAAAAUGCAUACCAUUUAUGUUGAUGGGAGCAAAGUGGCUAGAACAUCUUCGAAUGAAGCAGCCCACUGGUUUGAAUAUUCUUUUCUUUUUUUUGUUUGUUUUUGUUGAAGCCAAGCAUUCACUUAGUUUUUCAUAGAUAAGCUUUAAUGGGAAGAAAUAAAAAAGAUGCACUUACCGUUGGCAAUAUGGUUCCCUUGUUUUUAUAAUUUAACAUGUGUAUAUACAAUUUCUCACUAUUUGCAGUUUGAUGGUUCGUUUAUCUGCUUUAUGCUAUCCAGACCUUCUGUUGUAUCUCUGGUUAUGUCAAAUUCUGAUCAAGCAACACCGAGUCCCAUUGUAUCACAUGACAACCAUCCGAAUGGCACUUCUUGAGCAUCGAAAUAUGAAAUACGGGAUGAACACCCAAAACUGGUCAUGAUGAGAAUAGUCUUAGCUUGUAAGAUGCUUAUCCUAUCUUUAUUCCUUGGAUAUGGUUGUGAUUGUUAACAUUUUGAUCUUCUACUAGAAAUAACUCAAAUGAUGAGAAGUCAUUGAUUAUUUGAACAUCACAGUAUCUGCAGGAGUUUGAAUAUGCCUGGAAUUUCUGGUGUAACCUGAAAGUCUUCAUUCAACCUAGAAAGCUAUAUCCCAUUCGUAGAGUAGCGUCAGGUCAGGGAAAUAGAAGAACCACUACUUGAUCCUUCCAAAGUUAAGAGUAUAUGCGAGUAUGGUUGUGAUAUUGGUAGUGAACAUAAUUCAUCUUUGGUUCUAUUGCAGAUUUUCAAUUUAAAAUUUAGGGCUUAUUACUUUUCAAAGUGGAAACAGCCCCUUGCAGAAAUGCAGGGUAAGGCUGUGUACAAUAGAUCCUUGUGGUCCGUCCCUUCUCCAGACCCCACACACAGCGGGAGCUUAGUGCACCGGACCUUUAGUGUUUGGUAUGAAACUGAAAUUCCAAAUUUUCAGAGAACUCAAUUACGGCAUAUCAGACACUGGAAAGUACACGGAGUAACGAAACAAGUGAUACCACUCACUUUAUGGUUCAGGGGUAGAACUAUGAAACCCCAGAAAUUAUUCUUCAAUGCUUAAUGAAGAGCAUGUAAAUUUGAGAUGUCCAUUUGGAGUAGGAAGAGUCACCAAGGACAGAACGAGUGACAUCUUUUCCCUUUAUAUCCAUCAUUUUCAGCUUUUUAUUUUUUAUUGGAACUUGGUGAAGGACCUAUUCUGAGCUGAUUAUUAGAAUUUUUCAAAAAAGAAAUAACGCUAAUAAUUUCUAUUUAGCGUUUUAUGGGUCAUUUCAUCAAUUGUGUUAUGUUUAUUUUUUCUUUAUGUUUUGGGAUAGAUGGAUACUACCACGUUAUGCCUUUUAUUGAUCACAACUUUAUGACCAUCUAGGCUUUAUUUACAGAAGAAAUGAUCUAUGGCACUUACAGGUCAUGCUUAAC